GGGAGGGUCUAAAACGCGGAAGUGGAAAACGCGGAAGUGAAAAAUUGGUGUAUUAUAAUUAAUAUCUCUGGAACCGCUUAAGCUAAAUCAAUAAAUAAAAGUGAUUCUGAAAGCUAUUACAAUGGGCUAUAAGAUUAAAUUAAAAAAAAAUAUAUUUGAAUAUGCUUUUUUACCGAAAAGUUGACCGGAAGUGUUUCUUAGUGUGACUCUGACAACACAUUUUUGAACAGUAAAACUUAUAUUCACGAAAAAGCAUAUAACCCGGUCAAAGUAUGUAAAUUGAUUCUUAAAGACAUUUAAAUGACAAAUAAUAUGAUAGAAAGAAAAAAAUAAAUAUAUUACUAUAAAAGGGCAAAAAGUUGACCGGAAGUCACCCUGGUAUAUAAAUGAUGAAGUCAAAUUUUCAACUUUGAAUUAAAAUUCCAAAAAAAAUAAAAAUCCCGGUCAAAGUCUGUAAAUUGAUUCUUAAAGACAUUUAAAUGACAAAUAAUAUGAUAUAAAGAAAAAAAUAAAUAU
rnacentral:lncRNA from 1 species